rnacentral:rRNA from 1 species
UAGGGAAUAUUGGACAAUGGGUGAGAGCCUGAUCCAGCCAUGCCGCGUGCAGGAAGAAGGCGUUAUGCGUUGUAAACUGCUUUUUGCCAGGGGAUAAAAAGACCGUGCGCGGUUAAUUGAAGGUACCUGGUGAAUAAGCCACGGCUAACUACGUGCCAGCAGCCGCGGUAAUACGUAGGGACCAAGCGUUGUUCGGAUUUACUGGGCGUAAAGGGCGCGUAGGCGGCAAUUCAAGUCAUCUGUGAAAUCUCCGGGCUUAACUCGGAACGGUCAGAUGAUACUGCUUUGCUAGAGUGCAGAAGGGGCAAUCGGAAUUCUUGGUGUAGCGGUGAAAUGCGUAGAUAUCAAGAGGAACACCUGAGGUGAAGACGGGUUGCUGGGCUGACACUGACGCUGAGGCGCGAAAGCCAGGGGAGCAAACGGGAUUAGAUACCCCCGUAGUCCCUGAGCGGGCUGGCAAGGCGCAU